rnacentral:misc_RNA from 1 species
AACGCACGAGACCUGCGGACCUGCGGAAGGAUCAUUACAGAGUUUAGGGUCCUACAGUGGCCCAAAACCUCUCCAACCCCCCUUGGUGUUUCUAUCAUCCUGUUGCUUCGGCAGGCUUCUAAUGGUCUGCCUGUCGGAGUCUUAUAACAAAACCUAGUUAUGAAUGCUGGUCUGAUCUGUCUAGAAUAUGGAAUUUAAAUAAAAACUUUCAACAACGGAUCUCUAGAUCGGAAGAGCACA